rnacentral:rRNA from 1 species
AUUGAACGCUGGCGGCAGGCGUAACACAUGCAAGUCGAACGAGUGGCGGACGGGUGAGUAAUGCCUGGGAAUCUGCCUUAUGGAGGGGGAUAACUACUGGAAACGGUAGCUAAUACCGCAUACCAUCAGAUGUGCCCAGUUGGGAUUAGUUAGUUGGUGGGGUAAAGGCUCACCAAGGCGACGAUCCCUAGCUGGUCUGAGAGGAUGACCAGCCACACUGGAAGUGAGACACGGCCCAGACUCCUACGGUAGGCAGCAGUGGGGAAUAUUGGCCAAUGGGCGCAAGCCGGAUGCAGCCAUGCCGCGUGUAUGAAGAAGGACUUCGGGUUGUAAAGUUCUUUCAGCUGGGAGGCGUUAACCCCAGAAGAAGCACCGGUUAACUCCGUGACAGCAGCCGCGGUAAUUC